rnacentral:rRNA from 1 species
AUACGUAGGGGGCGAGCGUUGUCCGGAAUGACUGGGCGUAAAGGGCGCGUAGGUGGCCUUACAAGUCUGGAGUGAAAGUCCCGUUUUUAAGGUGGGAAUGGCUUUGGAAACUGUAAGGCUUGAGUGUGGGAGAGGAUAGCGGAAUUCCCGGUGUAGCGGUGAAAUGCGUAGAGAUCGGGAGGAACACCAGUGGCGAAGGCGGCUUACUGGUCCAUUACUGACGCUGAGGUGCGAAAGCGUGGGGAGC